AGAAUGAAUGAAACUCCCGAUAUCAACAACUGGUUUCAAUUUAUUAGCAAUGCAAACUUUGGUGAACACUUCUCGCGAGUGGAGUCUGUUCAGGGAUUUUACGAGAAUUUAUUCCAGGAAGCCAAAAACGUGGGCCAUGAAAUAAAGGAUACGUUACUUCACUGCCGAUUCAAUCAAAGGCCGUGUCACCCUCACAACUUCACUCGAUAUUUCAACGGCAAGAACUACUAUAACUGCUACACGUUUAACAGCAAGCAGGGGGAUCACGACAUGCAAUAUAUGCAUACCACCGGUCCCCAGCACGGCCUCUCAAUCGUCAUGGCACUGGACAAUGACGACCCUCCGCUAGGGGCAUACGGACUCUACAACCAAGAGAGUAACAUUGAGCACACCGCUGGACUGAGGGUCCAGGUUCAUGCCCCUCAGACGAUGCCCAGCCCCAUGGAUCACGGAUUUGACAUCCCUCCUGGGUAUUCGUCCUCCGUGGGUCUAAAAGCCGUGAUGAAUUCAAGGAAACCUUAUCCUUAUGGAAACUGUACAUAUGACAGACUUAAGAGAUACCCAAAAUACAGGAAUACAAUAUUCUCCUGUUUCCAGUUGUGUAAGCAAGAGAUAGUGAUUCGCGAGUGUCAGUGUCGGACCUCCGGACUCCCAAGCACUCCGGAACAGAAAAAUCUGUCUUACUGCGGGACGUUCCAUCACUGGCAGAACUUAUUCCAACAGCUAAGUAAGUCUGGCUCAUUCAAUAGAACACACCUGUACAACCAGAAACUGGACUGCGAGGUCAAGGUGCUCCAUCGUCUCUCUAACGACCGCAGUUACGAGGUCGGGUGUGGAUGUUUCCAGCCAUGUCAAGAGACCUCCUAUCAAAAAUCCAUCUCCCUCUCGUACUGGCCCCUCGAGUUUAACCAGUACAAUGCCUUACAGACAUUUUAUGGAAUUUUAGAAGAUUCAAAUCGGAUAAAUAAUUCCUUCAUGUCAGAGGCUUAUUACAAUCUUCAUGAAAUUAUUAAGAAAUAUGAGCCACUGGCUCAAAACAUGACUGGAGAAAAUGCGGAACAAUUAUUACAUGCCGAUAUUCCGAUGGAUGAGAGACGAAAGCAGGCCCGUGCCACUCAACUCAUUCAUCAAAAUCUCCUUCGUUUGAAUGUUUAUUUAGAAGACCUUAGUGUCAUAGAAUUUAAGCAGAUGGCUGACUAUGAUAUAGCAGAUUUACUGUCAGAUAUCGGAGGAACUUUAGGACUGUGGAUGGGGAUUUCGAUUCUGACAAUUAUGGAGUUAGUGGAACUCGCGAUUCGCCUGGUUGCCAUUUUAUUCAAAUCGGAAAAUAGAUAUCCUGAUCACAUGGAUGACCACAGUUCAGCCAAUGGAAUUUUAGAACACUCGACAGAGAGGGCGAUAUACCCCCAAGAUACAUAUGAUCCAUACACACAGCCUGAGUUUCAGAGUUUUGAAAAAAAUGAUUACGGUCGGACUACAAACGAUUUACCUCCCGACUCGCCUAUCUGAAAUUUGUGUUUUCAUUGAUUUCUUGGUUAAACUGACGAUUUGAAUGUGUCUGUGAUAUAUUGUUUCAAAUGGAAUAUGUAUACAUGUGUAAUGUGAAAAUACUCUGUUGCAGUGAAGAUUUUAUUGAUCAAAUCUCUCAGAAAGUUAAAAUCUGGAACCAUUCAUUGUGCAACUGAAAAUGUUCAAAUUAUCAUUCACAUAAGUAUCUAAUAAACCAUUAUCACAUAAAUC
rnacentral:misc_RNA from 1 species